GAUGAACGCUGGCGGCGUGCCUAAUACAUGCAAGUCGAGCGAACAGACGAGGAGCUUGCUCCUCUGACGUUAGCGGCGGACGGGUGAGUAACACGUGGAUAACCUACCUAUAAUACUGGGAUAACUUCGGGAAACCGGAGCUAAUACCGGAUAAUAUAUUGAACCGCAUGGUUCAAUAGUGAAAGACGGUUUUGCUGUCACUUAUAGAUGGAUCCGCGCCGCAUUAGCUAGUUGGUAAGGUAACGGCUUACCAAGGCAACGAUGCGUAGCCGACCUGAGAGGGUGAUCGGCCACCCUGGAACUGAGACACGGUCCAGAGUCCUACGGGAGGCAGCAGUAGGGAAUCUUCCGCAAUGGGCGAAAGCCUGACGGAGCAACGCCGCGUGAGUGAUGAAGGUGUUCAGAUCGUAAAACUCUGUUAUUAGGGAAGAACAAAUGUGUAAGUAACUAUGCACGUCUUGACGGUACCUAAUCAGAAAGCCACGGCUAACUACGUG
rnacentral:rRNA from 1 species